rnacentral:rRNA from 1 species
GACGAACGCUGGCGGCGUGCUUAACACAUGCCAGUCGAACGGAAAGGCCCUGCUUUUGUGGGGUGCUCGAGUGGCGAACGGGUGAGUAACACGUGAGUAACCUGCCCUUGACUUUGGGAUAACUUCAGGAAACUGGGGCUAAUACCGGAUAGGAGCUCCUGCAGCAUGGUGGGGGUUGGAAAGUUUCGGCGGUUGGGGAUGGACUCGCGGCUUAUCAGCUUGUUGGUGGGGUAGUGGCUUACCAAGGCUUUGACGGGUAGCCGGCCUGAGAGGGUGACCGGCCACAUUGGGACUGAGAUACGGCCCAGACUCCUACGGGAGGCAGCAGUGGGGAAUAUUGCACAAUGGGCGGAAGCCUGAUGCAGCAACGCCGCGUGCGGGAUGACGGCCUUCGGGUUGUAAACCGCUUUCGCCUGUGACGAAGCGUGAGUGACGGUAAUGGGUAAAGAAGCACCGGCUAACUACGUG